CUCUGGAGUGAAUGGAGCUGUGAAUGGGGACCAGUGGCACUGAAGUGGUGGUGAUUUCACUCCACAUGAGACAAAAAUAACCCAGGCUUUGAUGCCCCUGUGUCCCAAGGGACAGGCAGUGACCCUGAGCACCCAGCUCAGUAAAGUCCCUCGCUUGAGGAAGAGGCUUCAGUAGAUGCUUCAUCCAAACUUUUCUGCUGGCAUGAAUCAAGGCUGGAUUUGUGAUUUCAGUGUUCACACUGAAAUCUGUGCUAAGUGUUGACUCACAGGGGGAAGCAGAGGUUUGUGAUCUGUGGCAGGAAUCAGCUGUCUUGUUGGUCAAAGCUUCCAGCUUGAUGAUGGGGUAUUUGUUGGAAGAUGUAAGAAAUUCUACUGCUUGGAACUGAAAUAAUGAAAUAAUAAUUGCUAAGACACUGGGAAAGCCUCAGAGACUGAGUCCAUACCAACUGCUGGUUCACAUGCUGGUGAAAUCCUCCUGUUAUCAGAGACCCCAAAAUCCUUGGCACAGGAGAAAGAGCUACAGAGAGAGAAUGGAGCAAGGCAGGCUCCAGAGCACUGGUUGUGCUGCUUGGUGUGUCCCAGAGGUGUGUGCUGCCUUGGAGCAGCACCUCAGCUGCUUCUCCUGCCCUCUGAAGACUUGUGUGAAAAUGACCAAGAUCCAAAGGGCCCAGGCUGCUCCUGGAAGAGGAAAAGCCUGUUGGUGUUACUUGAAUGAAAGGGCUGAGGACAGUGCCUGAGUGUCUGCAUUCACAUCCUGGGAAAGCAGUGGGAGAUUGAUCCUGGUUUGGUCACCCACUGAUGAGCUAAUUUUUAACACCAACCAUGAACAUCUCACCGCUGGAACUGCAGUGUGCCCAGUCCUCAGCAAGCUGUGAGAGAGCAAAUCACUCCAGCAGCGUGGAUCGUUCUUCUGCACCCAUUGUUAUGGAAAUCGCCUUAGAGACUGUUGCUCCAGCAAACAUUUUUAGAAGCACGAGUGAGUUGCGCAACAGGAAAAGUGCUCGGAGGUGAGGAAAACCCCCCUCGAGGCUCUCAGCACUGCCCCUUCCCCCAGUGGCACUGUGGAGCCUUGCCGGCUCUCCUAGUGGGGAUGGGAUUUAGGGUGGGGAUGGGAUUUAGGAUGUUCCUUUGCCUGCUAAGGCAGGGAGAAAGUGCUCCUGGAGGAGAAGCCCCUUGUGCGUCAGUCUCCAAGGAAACCCUUGGUGCUGCGUGGCUCAGCCUUCGUUGCACGCCUGGGCUGCGGCUCACACAUCCCAGACUUGUGCCUGAAUCACACAUCCACACUUUGAUCUGCCAGUGGCGUUUUAUGGGUGCAAAUUUUAGGCAAAUUGUGGGGUUUUCCUACCCCUAUAUGCUACUUUAUCUCAGAGAGCCUCAUGGUUGGCUUUGGUGUGCAGCACAAGUGAAACCAGCCCUAUCUCUGUUUCGAAUGCACAUUCCUCACCGUUGAGUCUGGAAGGAGAAGCCUUCUAAUGCUCCCACACCUCCCAGCUCCUCCAGACCAAGCCUGGGAGCCUGGUGGUUACAGGGAGGCUUGGGCAGCAGGUGCUUCCAGGUGUGCUGUCACCAGCCUGGGUGCAGUGCCUGAAACCAGGGCAGGUCACCCCUCUGCUCCCUGCUUGGUGACUGCCCCAAAAGCUUCCAAACCCCCACAGGUUAGGGCUGCCCAGCCACAGGGCAGUUUCACUGCUCAUCCCCCAUUUGUACUAACACCUAGCCCUCAGUUUUAAUUAAAUAAAAAAAUCAUCUCUUCUUGUCUCAAUUAACUACAAACAAUUGUGUCUCUUGAGUUUGCUUCUCAUGCUCCUCAUCACUGCCUGCUGUGGAGCAGCACCAGCUCUCCAGCCUGUGCCCAGGAGCUUCCUGCAGCCUCAGCUGAUGAAAGGGGAAAAGCACAGAUCCAGUGACCUUUGUUUGCCUCACUGCUGUCCACAGUCCCUGCCUGACAUUUGAGGAGUGCUGUGACGCGUCUGGAGCCUGUCCCGAAACUGAUGUGGUUGCUGAUGCGACCGCAGAAUGGAGGUGAAACAUUUCUGUUCUGGUUUCACAGGACCACACACUGGCGGCUACACCUGCCUCCCUCGCACCACCAAAAAGGAUCCCUGUAAGAUUUCUGGGCUGUUUUCAGCACAACAGGGACUUUAGACACAGAUUUUGGUUCUCUGCAUAAGCCACUGCUUCUCCCCUUGUGAACUGAAGGUGCUUCGAUAAACAUUUUGAAAGGUCAGCUAUUUUCACUGUGUCUGUGGCUUGCAUAAGAACCUCAACAUCCUCUGCUGCAAAGAGCAGUGUUAGGAACUUCCUACUGCCACGCUGAAUCACAAUAGCUUCCCACAGCAACCAGUGGUAAAAAUAAACUGGGCAAGGGGAAGUGGACAGCUUCUGCUCUUCCGCUUUCUUGGGCACACUUGAGUCACAAAAAAAGCGAUGUAGAACAAGACAUUUAUUUUGCUGAUGCCAAUGAAAUCCAUGAAUGGUUCAGAGCAUGGUCCUGCUGAAAUCACAGUGUUUUGCAAUGAGACUCUCGCUCAAAGUUAAGCAUGUGCUCAAUUGCUAUCUUAAGUCAGUAUUUUCAUUAGGAUCCAGCCUUAGGAAUUAGACUAAAAGGAGGCAGGGACCCCUGCACAUCCAAGUGCUGCUUUUGUUAUAAAGGCACAGGAAUACAGCCCUCUUGGUAUAUUUCUUCUGUUAAGGGUCUAUAAAAGACCACAGAGGAGACAAUGGCUCUGAAAUGCUUUCAGUAGUAGAUUUUAGCUUUGAGAAAAGCAGAUUUUGACCAGAAGAAAAGUGUCUUCAGAUUCAAAUCAAUUUGAAGUUCUGCCUAGAGACAAUGCCAUUUGAACAGCACAGUUCUCAACAACAUUACAACUAAGACUCUGUGUGUGCACGUGUUUGUUUGCGUGUGGGGGAGUGUUUUAAGAGCAAUAUUUUUCCUCUUACACAAGGUACAGCCCAGUUCUGGCUGAAAUUCAGCCAGCUGGGGAAAAAACUUGAGGAGUCCUAGUCAGGUUGCUGAGCCUGGGAAUCUUCUGGUGAAACAGACCUGCCUCUUCCCUUCAAACAGUGUGUGCUGACAAAGUUUAAAUUAAGAGGCUAAAGAGAUGAAAAGUUAGGGAGAAAAAAAUGGAAUGGCUUAUCUGUCCCAUACUGGGGAGAAGGAAUGGUUCCCACUCAUGCUUACAAGAAUUUGGAGAGCAGGGGCUUGUAGGAUAACCCAGGAGAGAAGAGACCACAGCAGAGCUCCAGUCUGGCUGAAAGCUGGGUCAGCCCUGGGGGCAGGCCAGGUUACCUGGGGAUGUGUUGAGUUGAAUCUUGAAA